CCUACGGGAGGCAGCAGUGGGGAAUCUUAGACAAUGGGGGAAACCCUGAUCUAGCCAUGCCGCGUGAGUGAUGAAGGCCUUAGGGUUGUAAAGCUCUUUCAGUGGGGAAGAUAAUGACGGUACCCACAGAAGAAGCCCCGGCUAACUCCGUGCCAGCAGCCGCGGUAAUACAGAGGGGGCUAGCGUUAUUCGGAAUUACUGGGCGUAAAGCGCACGUAGGCGGAUUGGAAAGUUGGGGGUGAAAUCCCAGGGCUCAACCCUGGAACUGCCUUCAAAACUCCCAGUCUUGAGGUCGAGAGAGGUGAGUGGAAUUCCGAGUGUAGAGGUGAAAUUCGUAGAUAUUCGGAGGAACACCAGUGGCGAAGGCGGCUCACUGGCUCGAUACUGACGCUGAGGUGCGAAAGCGUGGGGAGCAAACGGGAUUAGAUACCCUGGUAGUCCACGCCGUAAACGAUGAAUGCCAGUCGUCGGGCAGCAUGCUGUUCGGUGACACACCUAACGGAUUAAGCAUUCCGCCUGGGGAGUACGGCCGCAAGGUUAAAACUCAAAGGAAUUGACG
rnacentral:rRNA from 1 species